UGUUUGUUGCUAGGAACCUUCUUGCUUUCUCAUGAGAUGGACAUCCAGCCUUUCUUAGGUGUGCAGGAAACACCCUGAUCCUAUCAGAGAACACACUACCUGGCUGACAAUCUCUGCAUCCAAGUGACAGAUAUCCUGAGACCUACAGACAAAUGGAUGCUGCGCCAGAAGUAUUCCUUAUUGGCAAAGGCAGCUCUGCUGUACCUGGGAACAUACUCCCCUGUGGAAAUGUUCCUCUCUCCAGGAGAAGGACAACUCCCUAUGACUGUUGGUUGUCUUCCAAAUCAAACUGAGGCUCAAAGGAGGAAAAGGAAAUUUUAAAAGGACAAGCUGCAGCUUUUGAAGAUAAUUCUCAAAAAGGAAUUUCCAAAAUAUU